GAUGAACGCUAGCGGCAGGCUUAACACAUGCAAGUCGAGGGGCAGCGCGGGAUAGCAAUAUCCUGGCGGCGACCGGCGGAAGGGUGCGUAACGCGUGAGCGACAUGCCCGUUGCCCGGGGACAACCGGUGGAAACGCCGACUAAUCCCCGAUGGGAUACGAUGCUUCAUGGCAUUGUAUUGAAAGUUACGGCGGCGACGGAUUGGCUCGCGUCCGAUUAGCUGGUUGGCGGGGUAACGGCCCACCAAGGCUGCGAUCGGUAGGGGUUCUGAGAGGAAGGCCCCCCACAAUGGGACUGAGACACGGCCCAUACUCCUACGGGAGGCAGCAGUGAGGAAUAUUGGUCAAUGGGCGGAAGCCUGAACCAGCCAUGCCGCGUGCGGGAAGGAGGCCCUAUGGGCUGUGAACCGCUUUUGCCUGGGGGAAAUAAGGGCGUCGCGCACGUCCGAUGAGAGUACCAGGCGAAUAAGCAUCGGCUAACUCCGUG
rnacentral:rRNA from 1 species